rnacentral:rRNA from 1 species
AGCGAACGCUGGCGGCAGGCCUAAUACAUGCAAGUCGAGCGCCCCUUCGGGGGAGCGGCGGACGGGUGAGUAACGCGUGGGAACGUGCCCUUUGGUACGGAACAACUGAGGGAAACUUCAGCUAAUACCGUAUGUGCCCUUCGGGGGAAAGAUUUAUCGCCAUUGGAGCGGCCCGCGUUGGAUUAGGUAGUUGGUGAGGUAAAGGCUCACCAAGCCUACGAUCCAUAGCUGGUCUGAGAGGAGAUCAGCCACACUGGGACUGAGACACCGGCCCAGACUCCUACGGGAGGCAGCAGUAAGGAAUAUUGGUCAAGUGGGCGGAAGCCUGAACCAGCCAUGCCGCGUG